UACGUAGGGGGCAAGCGUUGUCCGGAAUUAUUGGGCGUAAAGAGCGCGUAGGCGGUCCGAUAAGUCGGCUGUGAAAGUCAAGGGCUCAACCCUUGAAAGCCGGCCGAUACUGUCGGACUAGAGUCCGGAAGAGGCGAGUGGAAUUCCCGGUGUAGCGGUGAAAUGCGUAGAUAUUGGGAGGAACACCAGUGGCGAAGGCGGCUCACUGGACCGGUUCUGACGCUGAGGCGCGAAGGUCAGGGGAGCAAACGGG
rnacentral:rRNA from 1 species